ACCUUGCUGACGAGUACCAAAUAGCACGAAACCCUGGUCCGGGAU
rnacentral:hammerhead_ribozyme from 1 species